CGGGCAAUAGCUCAGUGGUAGAGCUCCCGCUUGGGAAGUGGCAAUGCUUGCGUUCAAUUCUAAGCUGCUUGU
rnacentral:tRNA from 1 species